UUGUAUAUGAUAAACAACGCCAAUAUGUUAAAAUGGAUAGAGUUGAACUGUAGUUUGAUUACGAAAAUGAGGAUAAAAGUGCUAGCUUAACGGAGUUACCAAAAUUAAGAAGAAAAUUGAAUGAUGAAUCUAACCCUUUGGAGGUGGAGGAUCAAAUUUGCAUUUACUUUUAUGAAGUAGGUUGCAGUGAUAGGACACAUUUUAAAAUUGUCGCCCCUAAAAAGGAGCUUUAACAUUUGUACAUUAUUACAACCGCAAAGGAUAUUUCAGUUUAAAUGCAAUGAUAGUUUGCGAUAAUAAAAUAAGAGUUCGCUACAUCAACGCAAAAUAUCCUGGGCAACACAUGAUUCUACGGUGCUGAAUAUGUCAGCGUUAAAACAGCUGCUUGAAAAUGAAAAUCGUCGCGGUUACCGGAAUUUGAUAUUGGAUAUACC